rnacentral:rRNA from 1 species
UACAGAGGGUGCAAACGUUGUUCGGAAUCACUGGGCGUAAAGCGUACGUAGGCGGCGCCGUAAGUGUCGGAUGAAAUCCCACGGCUUACCCGUGGAACGGUCCGGCAUACUGCGGUGCUAGAGGAUGGUAGAGGAGAGCGGAACUCUUGGUGGAGCGGUGAAAUGCGUAGAUAUCAAGAGGAACACCGGUGGCGAAGGCGGCUCUCUGGUCCAUGUCUGACGCUGAGGUACGAAAGCCAGGGGAGCAAACGGG